rnacentral:lncRNA from 1 species
AUCAACACUUUCUCACUGUCCAAUAAUGAUUCACAUGAUGACACGUCUUCAUAUAAUGAUUAAAACGUGUCACGAUUGCAUUGGAAGAGAGGUGCCUCGUUUAAUGAGGAGGAUUAUUAUAAGAGGUUAGUGCACGCCAGAAUUUUUUUUUUUUUCUUUUUUUUUUUGUGCGCGUGGGUUGGAGAACGGUGAAUGGACGAAGUGGUGGAGUUGCUUGGCUUUGAAGUUUGUUUUAUUAUUCCCUAUUUAUAUUUUUUACUUUUAUUUUCAUUUUUAU